GGUUUUGUGGUGUAGUUGGUUAUCACACCAGUCUAACACACUGGUGGUCCCCGGUUCGAGCCCGGGCCAAAUCA
rnacentral:tRNA from 2 species